AGCGAACGCUGGCGGCGUGCUUAACACAUGCAAGUCGAGCGGUAAGGCCCUUUCGGGGGGUACACGAGCGGCGAACGGGUGAGUAACACGUGGGUGACCUGCCCUCAGCUCUGGGAUAAGCCUGGGAAACCGGGUCUAAUACUGGAUAUGACUCCAUGACGCAUGUUGUGGGGGUGGAAAGCCUUGUGCGGCUGAGGAUGGGCCCGCGGCCUAUCAGCUUGUUGGUGGGGUGAUGGCCUACCAAGGCGACGACGGGUAGCCGGCCUGAGAGGGCGACCGGCCACACUGGGACUGAGACACGGCCCAGACUCCUACGGGAGGCAGCAGUGGGGAAUCUUGCGCAAUGGGCGAAAGCCUGACGCAGCGACGCCGCGUGAGGGAUGACGGCCUGUGUAC
rnacentral:rRNA from 1 species